rnacentral:tRNA from 1 species
GCCGGUCCAGCACGUGCCGGCCGCGUGCGCCGGGUCGAUGCCGGUCGGCAGGUGCGCCUGCAGACCCGGUUCGAUGCCGGUGGCCGGCAC